GCCGCCUCCUCCCUAGACCUAGGGGGAUCCCGCCGUGAAGUCGACGUGGUAGACCUCGCUCAUGUCCGGCUGGAAGAGGCCGAAGUGCUGCUCCACGCCCUCGGCCUUGCCGUUCUCGUUGAACAUGGCGAAAAGGUACGUCUCCACGGCCUUCCCUGGCCGGCGCGGGGUACCGCCGCCGACGUGCCGCACCACGUUGUUGUUGUACGCCGCGGCAUUCUCCACGGUGGCGCCCUCGCCGCCGGCCGACGGCCAGCCGGUCUCCGACACCACCAGCUCCAGCCCCUGGACCCCGGCUUUCUCCACCGCGGCGUGCGUCGCGUCCACGAUAGCGUCGAACAUGUUGGUGUAGACCACCCCGGCGUCCGUGACCGACGACGCCGCGCCGGCGUCCGCCGACAGCAGCGCGUACCCGAGCGCCACCUGCCCGCCGCUGCUCGAGUAGGCGAAGUACGGGUAUACGUUGACCAGCAGCGGCGCGCCCUUCGACGACAGGUACGAGACGAUGGGCGCCAUCACCGACGCGGCCGCCUCGGAGAAUGCGCCCUGGGACGGCGGGUACGAGGCGCCGAGCACGCUGGUGGCCACGGCCGUGGUGACGGGGACGCCCGUGACCCCCGCGGACCGGAGCGCCGACUCCAGGUUCUGCAUGGCCGGGAGCACCCGCGCCGCGGCGUCCCCCGGGAUGACCUCGUUGCCGGCGUUGAUGUACCGGAACUGGACGGCGCCGGCGAAGGGCUGCACGUUCGUGGCCACCCACGACGCGGCGAAGGACGGGUCGGACGCCAGGCGCGGGAGGUCCUCGUUCAGCGUGCCCAGGACGACGCCGACGCCGGAGCCGCGGAGCGCGUUCAACGCGUCCGUGUCCGGGUGGAAGAGCCGCACGUAGCUGAUGUUCUUGGCCUUGUACAUGGAGACGACCUGCUCCGGCGCCGGCAGGUUGUUGGCGACCAUGCCGUAGUUCACGCCAAUCGCGCCUUCAGCUCCUGCGUUAUUAGUUUGAUGAUUGAUGGCUCAGGAUUAGAUUGGAUCAUCAACUAAAACAAAAAAAAAGUGAAUUUUAUCUUCAACACGAG
rnacentral:misc_RNA from 1 species